rnacentral:lncRNA from 1 species
GAAUUGUAACCCCCACGUGUAGAGGGAGGGACCUGUAAUCCCUAUGUGUGGAGGGCGGGAGGUGAUUAGAUCAUAGGGGCGGUUUCCCCUGUGCUGUGCUCUGGAUAGUGAGUUCUCACAGGUCUGAUACUUUUAUAAGGGGUUCUUCCCCUUUCACUUUCUCUUCUCGUUCCUGCUGCCUUGUGAAGAAAGUGCUUGCUUCUCCUUACGCCAUGAUUAUGAGUUUCCUGAGGCCUUCCCAGCUUGCAGAACUGAAAAGAAGAGGAGGGCUCCUCUGAGACCUAAUAGGAUGCAUUUCCCAGCUGAGCCCAGUUUGCAUCUCCUCUCUCCGAGGCUCUUCUCAGAGAAAGACCUGGAUAAGCAGCCUUCUGCUGCCUUCUGGCAUCCCGGGACCAGAACUUAGUAUUGUAACCGUGAGCAUCUCCAUCAUCGGACAGGGGGCCCGAGUGCAGGCUCCACAAUGUGCAAUCCGACUCCAGAUGACCACUCUGCCUGUGUGCCUGUCCUCUAGCCCAACAGCCUGCUCAGAGUGGGUGCUCGCCAAAUGUUUGGUGAGUGAAUAAAUGAAUUAUGAAUUAACAGAAGAAUGAAACUAAUAAAUGAUCAUUGCAAUAACCUGUAAAAAAAACU